rnacentral:rRNA from 1 species
GCACAAGCGGUGGAUGAUGUGGUUAAUUCGAUGACAACGCGAAAACCUUACCCACCUUUGACAUGUACGGAAGCCUUUAGAGAUAGAGGCGUGCUCGAAAGAGAGCCGUAACACAGGUGCUGCAUGGCUGUCGUCAGCUCGUGUCGUGAGAUGUUGGGUUAAGUCCCGCAACGAGCGCAACCCUUGUCAUUAGUUGCUACAUUCAGUUGGGCACUCUAAUGAGACUGCCGGUGACAAGCCGGAGGAAGGUGGGGAUGACGUCAAGUCCUCAUGGCCCUUAUAGGUGGGGCUACACACGUCAUACAAUGGCUGGUACAAAGGGUUGCCAACCCGCGAGGGGGAGCCAAUCCCAUAAAGCCAGUCGUAGUCCGGAUCGUAGUCUGCAACUCGACUACGUGAAGUCGGAAUCGCUAGUAAUCGUGGAUCAGAAUGUCACGGUGAAUACGUUCCCGGGUCUU